ensembl:snRNA U6 U6 spliceosomal RNA
GUGCUCACUUCGGCAGCACAUGUACUAAAAUUCUCUAUAUCUAACAAUAUAGAGAAGAUUAGCAUCGCCCUUGUGCAAGGAUGAAAUACAAAUUUAUGAAGUGUUACAUAUUUUU